AGAGGAGACAAUUGAUUCAAAAUCUCAGUAACCUAAAAAUCAAACUGGAUCUUGUUGAUUUGUUGCGAAAGGACUCGGGAAGUAAAAGUUAUCAGGCCUUAUUUCAGUUUUUAAAAGAGGGGAAACUGUUUGAAAGGAUUUGAGGAAUAUUUUUUUUUUUUUUUUUUUUUUUUGAGCGUCGUUCCAGACCAUACUCCAUACCAGUUGGUGGCGGUAAUGCACCUUUCAGUUGUUUGCCAACCGCCAAUACAAAUGUAAGAAAGAAAGAAGAAGAAGAAGAAGAGUCUUCGCCAGAUCGUCUGCUAACCUCAUCGGUACCUGGACUCAUCAUCCAAACCCUGCCAUAGCCACGCUUCUGGAUUCCGGUCAGCUGCUGCUUGAUCCUUUUCAGGCAAAGGGCCAUUCACACCUGCCUGCCUCCCUGCGCACCCGUAAAGGACUCAGUACUCGCCCGGACCUCGCCUCACCUCCAGCUUAUCCCCGCCUGCGAACACUGACCCUGGUCUGCCACAGCUUCCACCUGCCCCACUCCAGCCCUCAGCAGUUUAGUGAUCUGACAGUUCCAUGCUUAGCCUGAGCCCAGCACUCACAGACACCACGCUUUUGCACAAAGUUAAAUCUUGUUAUUGUCUUGACAAUCUCAGUUAGGAAUUCUGGCAAAUAAAAGUUUUUGUUUUUUGCAAAUCACUUCAAGCCUCCGGUCUUUUGGUUCUGCGCAUGAGUCCUUUCCACUUCACGGGCCUCUGAGCCAUGACAGGUUAGCACACAAGUCCAGUAAAACAGAAACCACCAUUCUGUCACUCUGACACAUAAAGUCCUCAGAAGCACAAUAGAGUUACCAGAUGAUGCAGCGUCCAGGAUCCUGCUCAGAGACCUCAAGAAGGCCAGGCACAAAGUACCAGAGCAGGACAAUGAUGAAGGAGAGCAUCAUCAUCUGAUGUGAUGAGUUCAAAGAGAAUAAAUGGAAUAAGCAUGAGAUGGUCUUCCUGGUUGGACUUUUAGCUUCAUGUGAGAGAUUUUACCUUAAAGAGAUAAACCUCUGUUACUCUGUUUAUUUUGCUUCUGCUGCAUUUUUGCAUGUCCUCAUCCACUAAAUAUAAAAUAGUGUAAAUGAGCAGCUUUGGAUGUUUGACAGUUUUUAUUGUGUCUGAACGUUCCUACAGUUGGUUUGUGGUUGAUGUGGAUUUGCUGCUCAUGUGA